rnacentral:tRNA from 1 species
ACUGCAGAAAGACCGCAACCUCCUGAUUUGUAAUCAGGGGGUCAGGGGUUCGAGUCCCUUACGCGGCACCG